UCCGCUUCCGGGCCCUGCCCCCGGCACGCUCAGCGCGUGUUGGGAGUCCCGCCCUCGGACGCUGGCCGCAGCAGGACGGCGGUGGCGGCGGAAGUAAACGGAGAGGUUCCAGUGGAGGAUUUUUGAUGAUCAGACCUGUCCACAAGACGUGAGCUGACAAGGUUGCUUUCCUAUACUAAAACUAAGGAGCUGAUUGACACCAUGAGGAUUUUCUGUGGGCGGGCCAAUCCGACCACGGGAUCCGUGGAGUGGCUGGAGGAGGAUGAGCACUAUGAUUACCACCAGGAGAUUGCAAGAUCAUCCUAUGCUGAUAUGCUGCAUGACAAAGACAGAAAUAUGAAAUAUUACCAGGGUAUCCAGGCUGCUGUGAGCAGGGUGAAGGACAGAGGACAGAAGGCCUUGGUUCUCGACAUUGGCACCGGCACAGGACUCUUGUCGAUGAUGGCAGUCACAGCAGGUGCCGACUUCUGCUAUGCCAUUGAGGUUUUCAAGCCUAUGGCUGAUGCUGCUGUGAAGAUUGUGGAGAAAAAUGGCUUCAGUGAUAAGAUUAAGGUUAUCAACAAGCAUUCCACUGAGGUGACCGUAGGCCCGGAUGGUGACAUGCCAUGCCGUGCUAACAUUCUGAUCACAGAGUUGUUUGACACAGAACUGAUUGGGGAGGGAGCACUGCCUUCCUAUGAGCACGCACACAGGCAUCUCGUGCAGGAAAAUUGUGAGGCAGUGCCUCAUAGAGCAACCAUCUAUGCACAGCUGGUAGAGUCCAGAAGGAUGUGGUCAUGGAACAAGCUGUUUCCCAUCCGCGUUCAGACCAGCCAUGGAGAGCAGGUCAUCGUCCCCCCAUCGGAAGUGGAGCAGUGCCCUGGGGCACCCUCUGUUUAUGACAUUCAACUGAACCAGGUGUCACCCACUGACUUCACUGUCCUCAGCAACGUGCUGCCUAUGUUCAGUGUGGACUUCAGCAAGCAAGUCAGUAGUUCAGCAGCCUGCCAUAUCAGGCAGUUUGAACCUCUGGCGUCUGGCCGAGCUCAGGUGGUUCUUUCCUGGUGGGACAUUGAAAUGGACCCUGAGGGGAAGAUCAAGUGCACCAUGGCCCCAUUCUGGGCACACUCAGACCCAAAGGAACUCCAGUGGCGGGACCACUGGAUGCAGUGUGUGUACUUCCUACCACAAGAGGAGCCUGUCAUACAGGGCUCAGCCGUCUUCCUGGUAGCCCACCACGACGACUACUGUGUAUGGUACAGUCUUCAGAGGACCAGCCCCGAAAAGAAUGAGAGCAUCCAUCCUGGGCGUCCUGUGUGUGACUGCCAGGCUCACUUGCUCUGGAACCGGCCUCGGUUUGGAGAGAUCAACGAUCAGGAUAGAACUGACCAAUACAUCCAGGCCCUGAGGACAGUGCUGAAAUCAGACAGUGUCUGCCUGUGUGUCAGUGACGGCAGCCUACUCUCCAUGCUGGCGCAUCAUCUUGGGGCAGAGCAGGUAUUUACAAUAGAGAGUUCAGCAGCUUCUCAUAGACUGAUGAAAAAAAUCUUCAAGGCUAACCACUUGGAAGAUAAAAUUAAUAUAAUAGAGAAACGGCCUGAAUUAUUAACAUCUGCAGACUUGGAGGGUAAAAAGGUCUCUCUCCUCCUGGGGGAGCCGUUCUUCACCACUAGCCUGCUGCCAUGGCACAACCUGUUCUUCUGGUAUGUGCGGACUGCGGUGGACCAGCACCUAGGGCCUGGCGCUGUGGUGAUGCCCCAGGCUGCCUCGCUGUAUGCUCUGGUCGUGGAGUUCAGGGACCUGUGGCGGAUCCGGAGCCCCUGUGGUGACUGUGAAGGCUUUGACGUUCACAUCAUGGAUGACAUGAUUAAGCGUGCCCUGGACUUCAGGGAGAGCAAGGAGGCUGAGCCCCACCCGCUGUGGGAGUACCCGUGCCGCGGCCUCUCUGAGCCCCAGCAGAUCCUGACCUUUGAUUUUCGGCAGCCAGUCCCCCCGCAGCCUGUGCGUGCUGAGGGCUCCAUCGAGCUGAGGAGCUGCAGAGAAACGUGAAUUUGGUUGCUAUGGUUACCCAUUGGACCAUUUUCCUGAACUCUCCUGGGAAUCAAAGCAGGUUUGGAAUUGGCGAGAGCUGCUCGUUGCGAGGCACCGGCAGGCCCAUCCAGCUCCACCUGUCUUCAUGGGGAGGAGCUGCUGCUUCUGGAGGAAGAACUCUCUUCUAACUGGGUGGAGGCCGUGAGCCCAGAACCCCUCGGGGCUCUUUGACGAGGGGGAGGCAGGGCAAAUACCCAUCUGGGCCUGCCAUCCAGGGUAUCUGGGAGGGUGCUUCCAGUUUUUGGUGCCAAGGCUGCGCCCUGAGCCUCUUGGACCAAGCCUUUCGUGACCUCAGGCCAAGGAGGCUCGUGCUGCUCCACGGUUCUUUUGAGUGCUUGGCCAGGCCGCGAGGAGUGAGUUUGGGUUGUGGCUCUUCUUCCUCAGUAUUUUACUGAGUAGCCUUUAGUCAGGGGGAGUGUUAGGAGCUUCCUGGCCAGGCAGGAUGGAAGUGGGGAAGACCAGAGGUUUCUGGAAAGCAGAAGGGAGCCAUGGCUGUGCUCACUCACCUCUCAUAUGGCUGUUUCUGUUUGGCCCAACAUCCCACCCCACCCUCCCAGGCCUGGGAAGAGUCAUGGGGUCGUCCUGUGGAUGGAAUACCACCUGACUCAGGACAGCACGGUCAGCACCGGCCUCCUGAAGCCUGCAGAGGACAAGGGGGACUGUUGUUGGAAUCCCCACUGCAAGCAGGCUGUGUACUUCUUCAGCACCACGCUGGACCCUAGCGCACCGCUGGGCGGCUCUCGAACAGUCAGCUACACUGUGGAGUUCCACCCCCAUACUGGCGACAUCACCAUGGAUUUCACACUCUCAGACACUCUGGAGGAUGAGC